AUGAAAACAGUGAAACAUUUGAUGAAACAUUUGUUGAAACAUUUGUUGAAAUAUUUAUGAAAUGUGUGUGUGUGUGUGUGUUUUCUCCCUCAGGGACAUGCUGAUCUCAGAUCUGGAGGCCAGUAUGACGUACCCUGAGCUGUGUGAGGAGGUGAGAGAGAUCUGCAGUCUGCAGCAGCGACAGCCCUUCACACUCAAAUGGAUCGACGACGAAGGUGACCCGUGCACUAUUUCAUCCCAGAUGGAGCUGGAAGAGGCGUUCCGACUGUAUGGCCGUAGCAGGAAGUCCGGACUCCUUCUUCACGUCUUCCCCAGUAUCCCGGAGAAGCCAGGCCUGCCUUGUCCAGGAGAGGACAAAUCCAUUUAUCGGCGCGGGGCCAGAAGAUGGCGCAAGCUCUACCGCGUCAACGGACAUCUCUUCCAGGCCAAACGCUUUAACAGGGUGAGUGAGUUUGUGUGUGUGUGUGUGUGUGUGUGUGUGUGUGUGUGAGAGAGAGAGAGAGAUGGGGUAGGAGCUGGAGUGGCUGAGCUGUAACACUUCAGUAGACAUAUUUUCUAGGGCAAGUAC